CUCAUUUCUAUGUCUUUCAUGGGGUCUGACACCUACACCUGUAGCACAGUAGGUGCUCAAUAAGCAUUUCACGAACACAUGAGUUGGUCAUCAGGAAGAGAUGACAGUCACAGACCAGAAAAUCUACCUUGAGCUGUGGAUCCCUAAGAAGAAACGUCUGAUCCAAUAGCUGGUCUCAGGGUCCAUAGAUGCUUACUAAGGCCACCUGGGUGGAGAGAGGGCUGUGGCUACAGACAGACCUUGUAGUAUUGUGAUCUGCCUGUGUGACUCUGAUUGAGUUGUCUGCAUUGCCCCAUGCCUCAGUUUCCCCUCAAUAAAAUCAAGUAAGUGGUC